rnacentral:rRNA from 1 species
UACGUAGGGUGCAAGCGUUAAUCGGAAUUACUGGGCGUAAAGCGUGCGCAGGCGGUUAUGUAAGACAGUUGUGAAAUCCCCGGGCUCAACCUGGGAACUGCAUCUGUGACUGCAUAGCUAGAGUACGGUAGAGGGGGAUGGAAUUCCGCGUGUAGCAGUGAAAUGCGUAGAUAUUGGGAGGAACACCGGUGGCGAAGGCGGCCCCCUGGACCGGUCACUGACGCUGAGGCGCGAAAGCGUGGGUAGCAAACGGG